CAUCAGCUGAUAAACGCCAUCUAGCGAUUUCGAAUAUUGGACCAUCUAUUUUUUUUAUUAAAAAAAAUACCCCACAUGGUUUGUUUACCAGGUAUAAGUUACUUUUCGAAGACGUUACACUCCCGAGGAAUUGGAAGUCUAUUGAAAUUUAUGUGCACUUUGUACAUAUCUGUAUUUGUACGUGCGGUUUGCUACCUUUGAAUCCAUGAUGCUACAGAGAUCAUUGACUGGAGUGCUAGGGCUUGGCAAACAUUCAAAAAGUAAAUGGCAUAACACUGUACCUGCUUACCUGAGCACCAAGUCAGAUGAAAUAGAAGACAUGCGGAACACUCUUGGUCAACAAGUAUGGGAUGCAUCUAUAAAAAAGUUUCAAGAUUUAGGUUUCUCAUUAAAACAAAGCAGCAGUAUGCUGUUCAAUAAUCCUGCACUAUCAAAUUACCCAGCUGAACGGUUAUGCCACCAUUUUGAAGUACUUAGCUCAAUUGGUUUUAAAACAGAAGAAAUUAGAGAUGUGCUUGCCCGUGAACCAAAAAUCUUUGAUCGUGACUUUCAUGUACUAAAGAAGAAUCACACAAACCUGUUGAGACAAAUGGGGGAUCAUCAAGGAAGAAUUACAGCCAUUGGUGCCCCGAAUACUCUGAUUGAGAAUAGUUUUAUUACUAACCAAAAAAUUGACUAUUGUAUCAUGGAGAUGAUGAUGAACAAACCAAAAAUAGCCAGAUCAAGAAUCCUUCAGUGUUCUUACAGCUUGAUCAAAACUCGGCACAAGUUCGCAUACCGUUCAGGCUUGUAUAAGAAAAUCGACUCGAAAAACAAAGAAGGGCUGAUAAAUAAUCCAAGCAUUCCUGACUUAUUCUUUUGUUCGGACGAGAUAUUCCUCACUCUUUUCAAAGGCUUUACUCUUGAAGAUUACGUCGUUUUUGAUUCCUUGAUGAUGAACGAAGAAGAUCACAUGAGUGAAGAGGAUGAAACGGCUUCAAACGAUCACACCGAUGGAGAUGAUACAGAGGAUGAAAAUGAUUUAGGCGGAGGUUAUAAAAAUAGAUACUCUGCGCGGCGUAAUAAAUAACUUCUGUGUUUUGUAUUUAAAGGUAGCUUGAGAAGAAAUAUGCACAUUCAUGUUUUACGAAGAUGUACAAGAAAGGAUGAAAUGCAAUAGUUACUCUAAAAGUUUGGAGAAGGAAGCUCUUUCGGAGGAUAGAAGGAUUUCUUCAUACUUUUUCCCUAAUCAUUUCUCAUUUAUCUAUAUAGCGAAGCGUGUGCCGACUUUCUGUGGCUUAUCAGUCUUCAAAUCUUAAAGCAACAGGAUAGUAUUAAAGAUACAAGAAACCUUAAACGAAUUCAGCUUAGAUGACUUUACUGACGGAACAGAGAUGGUUUUCCUGAUUAGUGCACUUUGGUUUCGGUGGAUUUCUUGUAGCUUUUUUGCCGGUGAUGGUGGAGGACCAAUUUCUUUCCUGGUUUCGUCGGGUGAUUUUCCCUGGCCUUUCUCUUGUUCUCUGGUUGCGAGUGGUGGGAAGGAGUUGGCUUUUUUCCAGUUUGAUGAGGGAUAGUAGAACCUUUACGGUGUGUGGGAGCUGAACCUUUGCCUGGGGUCUUCCGGCUGUUGGUAGCUACUGUAGUUGGAGACGAGCGAACUGCCCUCCGAUGUCUACCGGCCACUUCGAAACCUUCUUCCACUGAAAUGGAUAAUGAUCGUUACAUACGAAGGCGCAUAAUUUUUUUCUCUCGUUUCAGUGCGUUCACCUAACGCUGCUGGGAGUGGAUGCCAGGACUCUUCCAUGGGCCACAGGAAAACAGACAACCACAAAUUACCUUAAAGCACCUUUACUGGAGGUACAAUCUCUGAAAGACGAAGUAUUCCAAAAACAUCAACUUCCAGAAAUGAAGCUACAGUGAAUUGUCCAAGGGCUUAUAUAAGCAUGCCGACAUACGGAAGGCCGUCUUUGUUCAUUGGCUAGAAUACAACCCACAGCUCUUGUUACAAAACUGAAAGAGAAGAGAGGAGAUCUUUGAAGGAAAAAAUUUGGUAGGGGUACUCAGCUCCACUUUGAAACCUCUCGGCUCGUUUUUCCCCUUUUUUUCUGGAUAGACAUUCAGUACCUAUGAUACUGGUGUCUUGACAUGAUAUGAGUGAUUGGGGUGUGUGUGUUAUUAACAAUAAAGUGUCGUUCAAAGAAA
rnacentral:misc_RNA from 1 species